ensembl:lncRNA
AGCCUGGCCAGAACCUUCAAAGCUGACUUGGUUCUAACCAGAACCAGUAGAGAACCAGUAGGAGAACCUAUAGUAGAACCAGUAAGAGAACCUGUAGUAGAACCAGUGGGAGAACCUGUAGUAGAACCAGUAGGAGAACCUGUAGUAGAACCAGUAGGAGAACCUACAGUAGAACCAGUGGGAGAACCUGUAGUAGAACCAGUGGGAGAACCUGUAGUAGAACCUAUAGUAGAACCAGUGGGAGAACCUGUAGUAGAACCAGUAGUAGAACCAGUGGGAGAACCUGUAGUAGAACCUAUAGUAGAACCAGUGGGAGAACCUGUAGUAGAACCAGUAGGAGAACCUAUAGUAGAACCAGUGGGAGAACCUGUAGUAGAACCAGUAGGAGAACCUAUAGUAGAACCAGUGGGAGAACCUGUAGUAGAACCAGUAGUAGAACCAGUGGGAGAACCUGUAGUAGAACCAGUAGGAGAACCUGUAGUAGAACCUAUAGUAGAACCAGUGGGAGAACCUGUAGUAGAACCAGUAGGAGAACCUACAGUAGAACCAGUGGGAGAACCUGUAGUAGAACCAGUGGGAGAACCUGUAGUAGAACCUAUAGUAGAACCAGUGGGAGAACCUGUAGUAGAACCAGUAGUAGAACCAGUAGGAGAACCUACAGUAGAACCAGUGGGAGAACCUGUAGUAGAACCAGUAGUAGAACCAGUGGGAGAACCUGUAGUAGAACCAGUAGGAGAACCUGUAGUAGAACCUAUAGGAGAACCAGUGGGAGAACCUGUAGUAGAACCAGUAGGAGAACCUAUAGUAGAACCAGUGGGAGAACCUGUAGUACAACCAGUAGGAGAACCUAUAGUAGAACCAGUGGGAGAACCUGUAGUAGAACCAGUAGGAGAACCUAUAGUAGAACCAGUGGGAGAACCUGUAGUAGAACCAGUAGUAGAACCAGUAGGAGAACCUAUAGUAGAACCAGUAGUAGAACCUAUAGUAGAACCAGUGGGAGAACCAGCAGGAGAACCCGUAAGAGAACCUGUAGUAGAACCAGUGGGAGAACCUGUAGUAGAACCAGCAGGAGAACCCGUGGCUACGUGGGUUCUGGCUCGCUGUCCUCAGCAGGACCGGCUGCGUGAGCAGACACACCUGAGGUGUCUUUGGACCUGGAUGGAACCCAAAGAGAAAAGCCCCUGGAGCCGAGGAGCAGAACCCAGAACCUUCAGCAGCGUCUCGGCCGACGCCUCUGCAGGUUCUCUAGUAGAACGUCUGAGCUGGACGGGCUCGAAAAGCCCCGUCACACCUGGUUUGUAUCGGUGA